GUGCAAUGCGGCAGCUACCAUGCAGUCGUACGAGAAGGUUCCUUCGGGAACUGGAGAGUGGCGCACGGGUGAGUAACGCGUGGGGACCUACCUCUUAGUGGGGGAUAACGGUUGGAAACGACCGCUAAUACCGCAUACGCCCUUCGGGGGAAAGAUUUAUCGCUAAGAGAUGGACCCGCGUUGGAUUAGAUAGUUGGUGAGGUAACGGCUCACCAAGUCAGCGAUCCAUAGCUGGUUUGAGAGGAUGAUCAGCCACACUGGGACUGAGACACGGCCCAGACUCCUACGGGAGGCAGCAGUGGGGAAUAUUGGACAAUGGGCGCAAGCCUGAUCCAGCCAUGCCGCGUGAGUGAAGAAGGCCUUCGGGUUGUAAAGCUCUUUCAGAUGCGAAGAUGAUGACGGUAACAUCAGAAGAAGCCCCGGCUAAUUUCGUGCCAGCAGCCGCGGUAAUACGAAAGGGGCAAGCGUUGUUCGGAUUUACUGGGCGUAAAGGGCACGCAGGCGGUCCUGCCAGUCAGGGG
rnacentral:rRNA from 1 species